ensembl:piRNA 21ur-3913 ncRNA
UCAACAUAAUCAUCAAAAUCA